AGAAGGAUGGCUCAAUGGUAAAGAACUCAACAUUACGGUCACUUAGACAUGGGUUCAAAUCCCUUUUCUUCCU
rnacentral:tRNA from 1 species